CCUACGGGUGGCAGCAGUGAGGAAUAUUGGUCAAUGGGCGCGAGCCUGAACCAGCCAAGUAGCGUGAAGGAUGACUGCCCUACGGGUUGUAAACUUUUUUUAUAAAGGAAUAAAGUGAGGCACGUGUGCCUUUUGUAUGUACUUUAUGAAUAAGGAUCGGCUAACUCCGUGCCAGCAGCCGCGGUCAUACGGAGGAUGCGAGCGUUAUCAGGAUUUAUUGGGUUUAAAGGGAGCGUAGAUGGGUUGUUAAGUCAGUUGUGAAAGUUUGCGGCUCAACGGUAAAAUUGCAAUUGAUACUGGCAGUCUUGAGUACAGUUGAGGUAGGCGGAAUUCGUGGUGUAGCGGUGAAAUGCUUAGAUAUCACGAAGAACUCCGAUUGCGAAGGCAGCUUACUAAACUGCCACUGACAUUGAUGCUCGAAAGUGUGGGUAUCAAACAGGAUUAGAUACCCCGGUAGUC
rnacentral:rRNA from 1 species